GACAGAGGUCCCGAGCGUUAGGCGGAAUCACUGGGCUUAAAGCGUGUGUAGGCGGAUCGUUAAGUACCUUGUGAAAUCCCACGGCUUAACCGUGGAACUGCUUGGUAUACUGGCGAUCUUGAGCCACUUAGGGGCUACCGGAACAAAUGGUGGAGCGGUGAAAUGCGUAGAUAUCAGGAGGAACACCGGUGGCGAAGGCGGGAUCCUGGGCCAGUACUGACGCUGAGGAGCGAAAGCGUGGGGAGCGAACAGG
rnacentral:rRNA from 1 species